rnacentral:rRNA from 1 species
UACAGAGGUCUCAAGCGUUGUUCGGAUUCAUUGGGCGUAAAGGGUGCGUAGGCGGCGCGGUAAGUCGGGUGUGAAAUCUUGGAGCUCAACUCCAGAACUGCCUUUGAUACUGGCGACCUUGAGUCCGGGAGAGGUGAGUGGAACUGCGAAGUGUAGAGGUGAAAUUCGUAGAUAUUCGCAAGAACACCAGUGGCGAAGGCGGCUCACUGGCCCGAUACUGACGCUGAGGCACGAAAGCGUGGGGAGCAAACAGG